rfam:Puccinia sorghi strain RO10H11247 Scaffold_773, whole genome shotgun sequence.
AGCGAGAUGGCGCAGCUGGUAGCGCGCUGGGCUCAUACGACUGUUCCCAUGUGAAUGGGUGUCACCCAGAGGUCGUCGGAUCGAAACUGACUCUCGCUA